GGGCGAAAGCCUGAUGCAGCGACGCCGCGUGAGGGAUGACGGCCUUCGGGUUGUAAACCUCUUUCAGCAGGGAAGAAGCGAGAGUGACGGUACCUGCAGAAGAAGCGCCGGCUAACUACGUGCCAGCAGCCGCGGUAAUACGUAGGGCGCAAGCGUUGUCCGGAAUUAUUGGGCGUAAAGAGCUCGUAGGCGGCUUGUCGCGUCGGAUGUGAAAGCCCGGGGCUUAACCCCGGGUCUGCAUUCGAUACGGGCAGGCUAGAGUUCGGUAGGGGAGAUCGGAAUUCCUGGUGUAGCGGUGAAAUGCGCAGAUAUCAGGAGGAACACCGGUGGCGAAGGCGGAUCUCUGGGCCGAUACUGACGCUGAGGAGCGAAAGCGUGGGGAGCGAACAGGAUUAGAUACCCUGGUAGUCCACGCCGUAAACGUUGGGAACUAGGUGUGGGCGACAUUCCACGUCGUCCGUGCCGCAGCUAACGCAUUAAGUUCCCCGCCUGGGGAGUACGGCCGCAAGGCUAAAACUCAAAGGAAUUGACGGGGG
rnacentral:rRNA from 1 species